UCGGAUAUGGUGUAAUGGUUAACAUUACCGCCUCUCAUAAACCAAUUCGCGGUAGCUCGGGGUUCGAUUCCCCGUAUCCGAA